GCGGGCGGGCCCGGGCCGAGCGCGGAGAGGGGAGGCAGAGCGGGAGCGGCGCCGUCCCCAUCCCGGAUAUGGAUAACAGCAAGGAUGAAAAAAGUAGGACACUGUGUGCAACUUCAGAAGAAGGGCUGAAGGUCCGAGGAAAAGAAAAAAGGAAACGAAAACGCAGUAGAAGCAGAUCAUCAUCUGUUUCAUCCACAUCGUCUUCUAGCAGCACAUCCACUUCUUCCUCUUCAUCACGCUCUUCAUCAAGAUCAUCUUCUUCGAGUAGUAGAGGUAAGCUACCUCCACAUGUGCACAUGAUGUUUACCAGUUUUGAUAGUACUCCUGGAAACAUUUAGAGCUUGUUUUAAAU
rnacentral:lncRNA from 1 species